rnacentral:rRNA from 1 species
AUCAUUACCGAGUUAGGGUCCUCACAGGCCCGACCUCCCAACCCAUUGUUUAUGAUACUCAGUGUUGCUUCGGCAGGCCUGGUCUUUGACCUGCCGGAGGGCCGUAACACGCCCCCCGGAGAGCGCCUGCCGACGGCCCCAACUUCAAAAUUCUUAACUAAACAUGUCUUUGUCUAAGUACAGUCUUUAAUAAAAGCAAAACUUUCAACAACGGAUCUCUUGGUUCUGGCAUCGAUGAAGAACGCAGCGAAAUGCGAUAAGUAAUGCGAAUUGCAGAAUUCUCGUGAGUCAUCGAAUCUUUGAACGCACAUUGCGCCCUUUGGUAUUCCGAAGGGCAUGCCUGUUCGAGCGUCAUUUUCACCCCUCAAGCCCCCGGCUUGGUGUUGGACGGUUUGGUCCCGGGGACCCCCCUGGACCCCUCCCAAAGACAAUGACGGCGGGCUGUCGCACCCCCGGUACACUGAGCAUCUUCACGGAGCACGUACCGGUCUCCAGGGACGACGGCACCCGGUCUCACACCUAUAUCUUUCAAGGUUGACC